UUAAGUUCAGCGGGUAUCCCUACCUGAUCCGAGGUCAAAGGUUGAAAAAAAGGCUUGCUGGACGCUGACCUUGGCUGGCGAAGAGCGCGACUUGUGCUGCGCUCCGAAACCAGUAGGCCGGCUGCCAAUGACUUUAAGGCGAGUCUCCAGCGAACUGGAGACAAAAGACGCCCAACACCAAGCAAAGCUUGAGGGUACAAAUGACGCUCGAACAGGCAUGCCCUUUGGAAUACCAAAGGGCGCAAUGUGCGUUCAAAGAUUCGAUGAUUCACUGAAUUCUGCAAUUCACGCUACGUAUCGCAUUUCGCUGCGUUCUUCAUCGAUGCCAGAACCAAGAGAUCCGUUGUUGAAAGUUGUAAUUAAUUACGUUGUUACUGACGCUGAUUGCUAUUGCAAAAGGUUUGUGGUUGGUCCUGAGGGCGGGCGAGCCCACCCAGGAAACAAGAAGUACGCAAAAGACACGGGUGAAUAAUUCAGCAGGGCCGGCCCCGCCGCGCACGCCGUGAAGCAGUGCCCAGCGGGGGGUGUCCAGCCCGCCUUGUUAUUGUGUAAUGAUCCCUCCGCAGGUUCACCUACGGAGACCUUGUUACGACUU
rnacentral:misc_RNA from 1 species